rnacentral:rRNA from 1 species
GAUGAACGCUGGCGGCGUGCUUAACACAUGCAAGUCGAACGGUGAAGGCGGAGCUUGCUCUGCUGGAUCAGUGGCGAACGGGUGAGUAACACGUGAGCAAUCUGCCCCUGACUCUGGGAUAAGCGCUGGAAACGGCGUCUAAUACUGGAUACGAGCUGCGAAGGCAUCUUCAGCAGCUGGAAAGAAUUUCGGUCAGGGAUGAGCUCGCGGCCUAUCAGCUUGUUGGUGAGGUAAUGGCUCACCAAGGCGUCGACGGGUAGCCGGCCUGAGAGGGUGACCGGCCAUACUGGGACUGAGACACGGCCCAGACUCCUACGGGAGGCAGCAGUGGGGAAUAUUGCACAAUGGGCGAAAGCCUGAUGCAGCAACGCCGCGUGAGGGACGACGGCCUUCGGGUUGUAAACCUCUUUUAGCAGGGAAGAAGCGAAAGUGACGGUACCUGCAGAAAAAGCGCCGGCUAACUACGUG